rnacentral:lncRNA from 10 species
ACUGGGUCCUGAAUCGGCUGCGUGCUGUUCUAGGUGGGGACUUGAGAGACUGUAGAUGGGUCUAGGGAGUGGUCGAAUAUAAAUAAGCUAGAUUUUUUUUUUUUUAAUUGCAAGGGAACUCCCUAGGAAUUCCAUCCAUGGCCUUGUGGAACGAUCUGCCAAAGAAAAAAUAUUUAUCUCUGUAGGUAAACUCCCAAUAACGUGCUGUUCCUACGUGAAAUGCUUAAUUCCCCCCAAGUUUCUUGGAACCCUCUAGAGAUCUCCAGUCUUUUCAGUCUUUCAGGCCUUCUGAGUUCUCUGACUCCCCUUCUCUGAGCCCCAGUGGGGAAAAUCUCUCCUCAGCUUACAGGAAAUUCAGACUAGUUUGAUGAAGGUGAAGUUGAAGGUCCCCUGUGUGAUUUUUGGCAAGGUUUUUAUUUCCGGGAGAAAUGUAUGUUUCUCAGAUAAGCAUGGCAGAUUCAAUCAAUAAUGUUAAAUAAAUAAGUAAAGAUAAAUUGUGAUGUUCUUAGGGAGAAACCAUUUAAUAGGCAAUUACUAAACAAAUGUACCCAGUGUGACAAAGUGCCUCAGUUUAGAUUUAAGCAUCCACCAGAUCGCCAUGUGUGUUGUUUCUCAUUGCCCCAACAUGACGACAUGGGCAAAAGGAGAAUAUCCAGCUACUGUGAAGGAAUCAAAUGCAGUCUAUUUUUAUAAUGCUAAUAGGUCUUUUGUUGUUCAAAAGUAGUGGCAUUAUCAUGGCUCACUGCAGCCUCUAACUCUUGGGCUAAAUAAAGCAAUCCUCCUGCUUCAGCCUCCCGAAUAACUGGGACUACAGGCAUCCAUCACCACGCCCGGCUAAUUUUUGUAUUUUUUGCAGACAUGGAGUCUUGCUUUGUUGCCCAAGGUGAUCUUGAACUCUGAUAAUCUUUUAAUUUUUAGGCUGGGUUGUGAGAUCAAGAGGAUAUAGUUUAUUAUUAUGCUUCAUAACUUACUUUGUGAUAGGUGGUAAGAAGAAAAACAUUAAACUCAGAAGGGAGAGAUAAAGCGUGGGUGUGUGGGGGAGGAAGGAGUGGUCUGUGUAUGUGAAAUUUUCACUAGGAUGACCACAGGCCUCCUUGAGAGGAUGUCUUUUUUUUUUUUUUUUUUUUUUUGAGACAGGGUCUUGCUCUGUCGCCCAGGCUGGAGUGACGCAGUCUCAACUCACUGCAAUCUCUGCUUCCCGGAUUUAAGCUAUCCUCCCACCUCAGCCUCCCGAGUACCUGGGACUACAGACAUGCACCACCAUGCCCGGCUAAUUUUUGUAUUUUUUGUAAAGAUGGGGUUUCACCGUAUUGCCCAAGCUGACCUUGAAUUCCUGGGCUGAAAUGACCCUCCCCCCUUGGCCUCCUAGAGUGCUGGGAUUACAGAGCCACAGUGCCUGGCCCAAGGGUAUCUUUUGAGGAUGGCAUGAAGGAGGGGAGGGAGCGAUCAUGCAGUUAACUAGGGGAGGGAGCGAUCAUGCAGUUAACUAAGAGCAUUCUCAGUAGCAAGUGCGCCUGGGGCACCAACAGGGAGAUUCCCUAGAAGUCUAUCGCAGUUAUUGUAGUUACCAGGUGAGAGGUGAUGAGGGCACCAUCAGUAGCAAGGCUUUUCUUUCUUUCUUUCUUUUUUCUUUUUUGAGGCGGAGUCUUGCACUGUAGCCCAGGCUGGAGUGCAGUGGCGCAAUCUCGGCUCACUGCAAGCUCUGCGCCCCGGGUUCACGCCAUUCCCCUGCCUCAGCCUCCUGAGCUGGGACUACAGGCGCCCGCCACCAUGCCCGGCUGACUUGUUUGUAUUUUUAGUAGAGACAGGGUUUCACCUUGUUAGCCAGGAUGGUCUCGAUCCCCUGACCUCGUGAUUCGCCCGCCUCGGCCUCCCAAAGUGCUGGGAUUACAGGCGUGAGCCACUGCGCCCAGCCUUUUUUUUUCUUUUUUGAGACAGAGGUUCACUCUUGUCACGAAGGCUGGAGUGCAAUGGCACAAUCUCGGCUCUCUGCAACCUGCAACCUCUGCCCCCCGGGUUCAAGCGAUUCUCCUGUCUCAGCCUCCCGAGUAGCUGGGAUUAGAGGCACCCACCCCACACCUGGCUAAUUUUUGUAUUUUUAGUAGAGACGGGGUUUCACCAUGUUGGCCAGGUUGGUCUCGAACUCCUGACCUCAGGUGAUCCACCCGCCUCAGCCUCCCAAAGUGCUGGGAUUACAGGCCUGAGCCACCGCGCCCGGCCACUUCACAUUUUCGUAUUCAUGGCACCAGCAAUUGUCUGUGAUCCAUACAAAGAGCUUAAUACACGUUUGUUGAAUAAGUCACACUUAACGUUGCAAGCUAGGAUAAUAAAUAGAACGUGGACUUGAUCCAUUAAGGGAAAGUAAGACUUCCUGGUUGAGAAAGCUGGAACUGUGCUUGCAUAUUCGUCUGUAAAUUUGAGUCUAAGUUUGGUAAACUAUUAAAGGAGAUUACAAUCCUUUCUGGAAAGGACACCAGCUAUAAUAAGGGAACUAGGAGUCUUCUGCAACCAAGCCUAAGCUAGGAACGGGUCAGGAGGCGUUCCACUUCCAAUGUGCAUCCAUCAAGGUCAAUGAGCAAGAAGAGGGUCUGGCUAUCCCUCACUGGUUAGAGACAUUUAAGGCUGGUCUUCAAAGGCAGCUGUGACCCUGUGCAUUUUACUGUGUGUUGUGGAUGUUCUCUCUGGAUUGUUUGUCAUGUUUAUGCUGCUUGGCUGCCUAGCUGUGAAGACUGGGGGAAGAUAUUGCCUCUCACAUUCAAUUCCUAGAAUAGAAUCAGAUGAUAAAUAUACAAUGAAUGAGUCUAAAUAUAUAAUGGGUAGGAAGGGAAGCCUGCUCACAUUCAAAAGGGAGGAUGUUACCCAUUAGAAAUUUGUCAUGGAAGGUUGACAGCUGGUGACGUGUACAUUGCAUGAAUGGGGUACAGUAAGUGCUUCAUCAAAGGAAUAUUCGUAGAAGGACCAUUCAGCAAAGAAAGUGAAUGGUAGAUAUUUGUAUGCCACCAAAUCUCUAUAUUAUUUGAAAGUUGUGGUGAUUCUUAAAUAAGAUCUGAGAUACUCUAAGAUAUGUUUUUCGGUUUCAGAAACUCAAAAAACCUUUGCGGUAAAUGUUCAGACCAUAGCAAAUAAUUGAACAAUAUUACCAGAAUUUAGGCAUAUGCCCCUGAAGAAGUUUUCUGCCCAGCAAAAAUCAGAGAGAGAGAGGAAGAAUCUAAGAUCUUUGUCAUCCUUUGGGGCAUACAUUUCAACCUAAUGUUAGCGCCCUCCCGGUGGUGCCAAAACCCAAUGAGUAUAUUUUAAAUUUUUUUAUUGUGCUAAAAUGUACGUAACAUAAAAUUGCCAUUUUAACCUUUUUAGCAACUUUUGUUUUGUUUUGUUUUUUGUAUUUUUAGUAAAGACACGGGUUUCACCAUGUUGGCCAGGAUAGUCUCGAUCUCCUGACCUCGUGAUCCGCCCGCCUCGGCCUCCCAAAGACUUCCACACCUGGGAUUACAGGCAUGAGCCGCCGCACCUGGCCUGUUUUUUUUGUUUGUUUGUUUUUUUGUUUUUUUUUUUUUUAAAGAGACAGGGUCUUGCCACGUUGUCCAGGCUGGUCUUGAACUCCUGGGCUCAAGUGAUCCUCCUGCCUUGGCCUUCCCAGUAGCUGGGAUUACAAGCGUGAGCCACGGCACCAGGCUCUUAACCUUCUUUUUUUUUUUGAGACUGAGUCUCACUCUGCCACCCAGGCUGCAGUGCAAUGGCACUAUCUCGGCUCACUGCAACCUCCUCCUCCCAGGUUCAAGCAAUUCUUGUGCCUCAGCCUCCCGAGUAGCUGGGAUUACAGGUGCCCGCCACCACGUCCAGCUAAUUUUUGUAUUUUUACUAGAGACAGGGUUUUGCCAUAUUGGCCAGGAUGGUCUCGAACCCCUGACCUCAAGUGAUCCACCCACCUGGGUCUCUCCAAGUGCUGGGAUUACAGGCGUGAGUCACCAGACCCGGCCUUUUAACCAUUUUUAAGUGUGCAGUUCUAUGGCAUGAAGUACAUUCACACUGUGUUGCAACCACACCAUUCAUCUCUGGAACAUUUUCAUCUUCCCAGACUGAACCCAUUAAACAAUAACUCUCCAUUCCCCCUUCUGCAGCCCCUGGUAAUCACUAUUCUACUUUCUGUCUCUCUGAAUUUAAAUACCAUAGCUCAGAUAAAUGGAAUCAUUAAAUAUUUGUCCUUUUAUGUCUGGCUUAUUUCACUUAGCACAACAUCUUCAAGGUUCAUCCUGUUGUAGCAUGUGUCAGAAUUUCCUUCCUUUUAAAGACUGACUAAUAUUCCGUUGAAUGGAUAUACCACAUUUUGCUCCUCCAUUCUUCCAUUCAUGGACAGUUGGAUUGCUUCCUCUUGGCUAUUGUGAAUAACGCUGCUAUGAACAUGGGUAUACAAAUAUCCCCUUGAGAUCGUGCUUUGUUUUUUUUUGCUAUAUAACCAGAAGUAGAAUAGCUGGAUCACACAGUGAUUCUGUUUUUAAUUUUUUGAGGAAACACCAUGCUGUUUUGCACAGCAGCUGCACAAUUUUACAUUUCCGUCAGAAGUACACAAGGGUUCCAGUUUCUCCAUAUCCUCACUAACAAUUGUUAUUUUAUGUUUGUUUGUUUGGUUUUUUUGAGAUGGAGCCUUGCUCCGUCACCCAGGCUGGAGCGCAGUGGCGCGAUCUCGGCUCACUGCAACCUCCGCCUCCCAGGUUCAAGCGAGUCUCCUGCCUCAGCCUCCCAAGGAGCUGGGAUUACAGGCAUCUGCCACCACACCCAGCUAAUUUUUGCAUUUUUAGUAGAC